rnacentral:misc_RNA from 1 species
AUCGAAACGCAAUACGCCACGGAAAUGCUUUUGGCAUUCGGAUGGUAUGGCGAGCUUUCGCCGUCCACGUUUCUCUUUCUUCAAGAAGACAAAAACCGCGUCAAUCCAGUUUAGGCUGGGUCGGUUCCCCGAAUGGGCCCGUAGCUCAGUUGGUUAGAGCACACGCNUGAUAAGCGUGGG